rnacentral:rRNA from 1 species
UACGUAGGGUGCGAGCGUUAAUCGGAAUUACUGGGCGUAAAGCGUGCGCAGGCGGUUAUGUAAGACAGGUGUGAAAUCCCCGGGCUUAACCUGGGAACUGCAUUUGUGACUGCAUAGCUAGAGUACGGUAGAGGGGGAUGGAAUUCCGCGUGUAGCAGUGAAAUGCGUUGAGAUCGGAAGGAACGCCCGUGGCGAAAGCGAGGUCCUGGACGUUUUCUGACACUGAGACGCGAAAGCCAGGGGAGCGAACGGG